rnacentral:rRNA from 1 species
AGAAUCAACGCUGGCGGCGUGCCUAACACAUGCAAGUCGAACGCGAAAGGGGAGCAAUCCCUAAGUAGAGUGGCAAACGGGUGAGUAACACGUGGGUGACCUGCCUUCGAGUGGGGGAUAACGUCCCGAAAGGGACGCUAAUACCGCAUAACAUCCUGUCCUUAGACGGACGGAGAUCAAAGCUAGGGAUCGCAAGACCUGGCGCUUAAAGAGGGGCCCGCGCCUGAUUAGCUAGUUGGUGAGGUAACGGCUCACCAAGGCAACGAUC